rnacentral:rRNA from 1 species
AAGUCUAAAAUGACUCUCGGCAACGGAUAUCUCGGCUCUCGCAUCGAUGAAGAACGUAGCGAAAUGCGAUACUUGGUGUGAAUUGCAGAAUCCCGUGAACCAUCGAGUCUUUGAACGCAAGUUGCGCCCCAAGCCUUUUGGCCGAGGGCACGUCUGCCUGGGUGUCACU